GACUAAAGGUACCCUUCUUGGCUGAUCCCUUUCGCUUUGUGGCGUGCUCGGUUGGGUUGGGCAUCGGCUAAGAGUGCUCGGAGCGUGGAUUAACUCCAGUCUCCAAUCAGGUAAUUUCCAGCCUUAGACGGAUCGGAGCUGCGAGGGGCUCGGAGGAAACCACACACACUGUUUAUUUUAUAGUUUUGAUUAUUACUUUUAAAUGUUUUAUGUGGGUUGUAGUAAAGCCGUUGUAAUUUUCUGGAUUUUGAAUUUGAAAUUUUACUUUUUGUUCUUAUAA